rnacentral:snoRNA from 1 species
AGCUAGAUUAUAGCUACUGCUUGUUUCUGAUUAACAUGAAAAUGUUUUCAGAAAUUUUGGUGGAUUUGUUGUAAUUGGGCAGCGGCCAGACAACCGUAGAGAUGGAAUCCACAGAAUGUUGAGUUUUUUUGUCUCAUCAUUCUACUAAUUCCAUCUCACAUUU